UAGGGAAUCUUCCACAAUGGACGCAAGUCUGAUGGAGCAACGCCGCGUGAGUGAAGAAGGUUUUCGGACCGUAAAGCUCUGUUGUUGGUGAAGAAGGAUAGAGGUAGUAACUGGCCUUUAUUUGACGGUAAUCAACCAGAAAGUCACGGCUAACUACGUGCCAGCAGCCGCGGUAAUACGUAGGUGGCAAGCGUUGUCCGGAUUUAUUGGGCGUAAAGCGAGCGCAGGCGGAAGAAUAAGUCUGAUGUGAAAGCCCUCGGCUUAACCGAGGAAUUGCAUCGGAAACUGUUUUUCUUGAGUGCAGAAAGAGGAGAGUAGAACUCCAUGUGUAGCGGUGGAAUGCGUAGAUAUAUGGAAGAAUACCAGUGGCGAAGGCGGCUCUCUGGUCUGCAACUGACGCUGAGGCUCGAAAAGCAUGGGUAGCGAACAGGAUUAGAUACCCUGGUAGUCCAUGCCGUAAAACGAUGAGUGCUAAGUGUUGGGAGGCUUCCGCCUCUCAGUGCUGCAGCUAACGCAUUAAGCACUCCGCCUGGGGGAGUACGACCGCAAAGGUUG
rnacentral:rRNA from 1 species